CAGUAGCCGCGGUAAUACGGAGGGGGCUAGCGUUGUUCGGAAUUACUGGGCGUAAAGCGCACGUAGGCGGCUUGGUAAGUUAGAGGUGAAAGCCUGGAGCUCAACUCCAGAAUUGCCUUUAAGACUGCCGAGCUAGCAGGUGAGAUAGGUAAGUGGAAUUCCGAGUGUAGAGGUGAAAUUCGUAGAUAUUCGGAAGAACACCAGUGGCGAAGGCGGCUUACUGGCUCAUACUGGACGCUGAGGUGCGAAAGCGUGGGGAGCAAACAGGAUUAGAUACCCCGGUAGUCCCUGUCUCUUAUAA
rnacentral:rRNA from 1 species